rnacentral:lncRNA from 1 species
AAAUAAAUUAGUUCUCAGCUACUACUACACAUUUGCAUAAAGGGAAGAAAGAAGGUGAAGAUGAAGCUAGUGAAGUCAUGGUUUCUUUUGCGCUUCACCUAUUUGCUGCUUCUUUUACUUGCAUUCAUAUGUGAAUUUGGGUAUGUAUAUAUUUACCCUAAUGUAUACUAAGACUAAUAUAAAACCUAAUUUAUUCAUAUAUAAUUAUUAUUCUUGCUUACAUUUUUUAUAGCUCCAAUCAAAUUAAUCUAAAGGUAUUUUGGUAGCAAAAAUAGUUAAUGUAGAUGAUUACUGUUUGUCAUAGGAUAGUAGGGAAUCACAUAUUAAUGCGCCGUAAGUGUAGAGAUAUUUUGUAAAGUUCAUUCAAAACUUAUAAUGUUGAUCUGAAAAUAUAUUCAUCUAGUAAGUUAUUUUUCGUCACAUUUAUACAUUUUCAGGUAAGGUCCUAUGAAAUAAUAUUUAGAUGACAACAAGUUAUUGUAGCUUCUGUAUUCAACCAUAUUUCAAUAAAUACUUAUUCUUUUUUAAUAUAGAUUAUUUGUGUCCUAUUCAUAUAUUAUUAUUGCAUGUUUCAUUCACUUAAAUCUGGAUAUGUGAAUAUUAAUGUACAAUAAGAUUAAAAUGGAGUAUCAUUUUUUACUUGUUGAUAACUCUAAUUGAUAAGACAGAAAGAGAAAAAGAAUAUGAAACAGAUGAUUUGCAUUUAUUGUCUUUAUGUUUCUCACUAUAUCAUUAUUAAUAUUUUCAUAUUUUAAUUUCUAAUUUUAUUUUUAAUUUGUGUAACAAAAUAUUCAUCACACUAUUAAAAAAACAUUCAUUAGUAUAUUAUAACGAUUUUUUUUAAAAACCUAACCUAUUUACAUAUAACCAGACAUGUUUGUUUGACUGUCGUACAAAUAUUAUUUUUAUUAAUGUGAAUUUCAUUUUUAUAUUCAAAUAAAGUAUAUUAACAUACACAAAUUAAUUAAAAUUAUAUAUGAUAAGUUAAUCUUCUACAGGUGAAUUGUACAGACUAAUCAAGAAUAACUUAUUUCAUAUAUUUAUUUAAAAACUGUUUUAUAAACUCUUUUUUUAUCUAGGCAUUUUAAAAAUAAGCUAUCAUUAUGUACCCAAAAAAUAUAAGCUAUCAUUAAACUGUUAGUUGCAUCCAAUAAAAUUUAUGACAUGUAUGGUUUGUUAGAAGAAGAUACCAAACUUAUAUAUCAUUAUUAUUGUUGAUAAAUUAAUCUUAUUUACAAAAGUAUAUCAAGACAUCUAGCAAUUCCUAUAAAGAUUCACCGCAUAUUUAUCAAUUAGAGUUGGCAAAAAAGAAUACCCAAAAAAAUGCCAAAAACAAUAUCUUUUCAUAAUUUUGAAUUCUUUAAUCAAAGUAUUUCCUGAUUUUAUUAUUAAGGUAGAAGACUAAUCUCGUCUAGAUUAAAGAUUAUUCAUUUCUAUAAUUAUUUCUUUUGAAGUCAUGCAGAUUGAAAAGAACGCAAUUUCAACAUAUAAAUUACUCUUACCCCUUUUGACUAGUUUGGAUACAAAAGUCACAAUUCAUAUAUAUAGAGAAUCAUUAUGUGGACACGGCAAAGCGAAAUUAAAUUGUCUUGGUCUCCGCUCCUUAACAAGAUGAAGAC